AAAAACUGAUGAAAAGAUAAGCUAGGAUAGAAUUUAAUUAAGUGGUUUGUUUUCCUCUAAAAUUGAAUCUCAGCUGAGAAAGAAAUUUGGAAAGGGACUGUUAGAUAUGUUCACUCACCUUUACUCCAUAAGAUUUUUUUAAUCACCUAAUUCGAUCAGGUGGAUCUACUUUCUUCACCUGUCUCACAUUUGCCCGUGAAUUCUCU
rnacentral:lncRNA from 1 species